ensembl:snRNA U2 U2 spliceosomal RNA
UUUGGUUAUUUGCCUUUUGGUGAAGAUCAAGUGUUGUAUCUGUUCUUAUCAGUUUAAUAGCUGAUACAUCCCCCAUACGAGGACUUUAUAUUAAACAGAUUUUUAGAGCAGGGAGAUGGAAGAGGGGCUUGCUCCACCUGCUCCAAACAUCGACUUGGUAUUACAGUACUUCCACAUUUCAAAAAGUAAAU